rnacentral:rRNA from 1 species
AUGAACGCUGGCGGCGUGCCUCAUACCUGCAAGUCGAGCGCACGGACGAGAAGCUUGCUUCUCUGAUGUUAGCGGCGGACGGGUGAGUAACACGUGGAUAACCUACCUAUAAGACUGGGAUAACUUCGGGAAACCGGAGCUAAUACCGGAUAAUAUUUUGAACCGCAUGGUUCAAAAGUGAAAGACGGUCUUGCUGUCACUUAUAGAUGGAUCCGCGCUGCAUUAGCUAGUUGGUAAGGUAACGGCUUACCAAGGCAACGAUGCAUAGCCGACCUGAGAGGGUGAUCGGCCACACUGGAACUGAGACACGGUCCAGACUCCUACGGGAGGCAGCGGUAGGGAAUCUUCCGCAAUGGGCGAAAGCCUGACGGAGCAACGCCGCGUGAGUGAUGAAGGUCUUCGGAUCGUAAAACUCUGUUAUUAGGGAAGAACAUAUGUGUAAGUAACUGUGCACAUCUUGACGGUACCUAAUCAGAAAGCCACGGCUAACUACGUG